rnacentral:lncRNA from 1 species
AUGGGAUCAGAUCAUCACUGUGAGAGAGGCAUAUGUUCCCAUCACAGUCCAUGGUUGGCGUCCUCCGAUCGCCUAGACUCUGAGCAGUCAUCCGCAGUUUCUGUCCACGGUCCCCACUCAGGCACCUGCUCCAGAGAGAUCCCUCUCCUUCAUACUCCCACCCCGACUGAGGUGAUCUCUCCCUUGGAGAAGAAGAAGCGUCUGGCCCAGGCUAGCCUGAACAUCCCUGCCUCUGGCGCCUUGGAAGACGGUGCAGAACUGGAGAGACCCUCUGUUAUUCAGCUAUCCCACUGUUCCCAGUCUCCUGUGUGUCCUUCUUCCACUCACACUCGCCACUCUUCCGAUGGCUCACCCCUCCCCAUCUCCUCUCCAUCUUGGUCCUUGUCCCGUAGCCCCUCUCCUUGCUCUGUCUCCUCUGAGGACUGUAUAACCGUGACGACCCAGGAGUCUCCUUCCAAAGAAACCGAAAGUAAGACACCUUCUCGUUUGUCUGCUCUCCCCACGUCCAAGACUGCUAGCACAGGAGUUUGCAAGCCUCUUGGAUGUUACCCCAACAGCAAAGAACUUGCCAACUAUCACCGCAACCAUUACAGGGAUUACCUGCCAGGUGGCCCACCCCAUUCAGAAAAAACCCAGAGGAGUCUUUUGCCAUGGACCCCGGAUGGUAAAUCCAGCACCAGACUUACAUCCUACAGGAUGCCUUCACCUGCAUACACCAGACCCUGCUGGGUCCCUCAUGCCUCCAGCUUCUCCAAGGUCUUACCACGAGAUCCUUGCAGACCUGUGUCACUACAGCCCACUUUUAAACCAUACAUGUCCUACCACCAGCACCUCCUAAAGAGGUCCAUCACCGAUGAAGCCUGCUUGAAGAAGACACCAGUGGGCUCUCCACUUCGCAUUAUGGACAGGAAAGAGAAAGCAAAGACAGUGUUGCCCAAGCCUCUGCCUACCCAGCAGUUAUUCUUCCACCCUCAUCCCGGUAUAACAAUGCCCUACCUGCCAACCAUAGAGAGAUAUCGGGCAGACUUAAACGAACAGUUGAAGGCUCUACCUCUUCAACAUGUAUUUCUUCCAACCCAUCUAACAAUACCUCCUGCUCAGACCCACUCUAUGCAUUGCCCGCCAGUGGGCACCCCUUUUCCUGGGUCUUACGAGGCUGCUUUGCCCUCCUACCCUUACCCAUUACCCAUCUGGCAUCCACCUGCUGGGUACAACAUGGCAGGCCUGCAGCCAUACUGA